rnacentral:rRNA from 1 species
GAUCCUGGCUCAGGACGAACGCUGGCGGCGCGCCUAACACAUGCAAGUCGAACGAGCGAGAGAGAGCUUGCUUUCUCGAGCGAGUGGCGAACGGGUGAGUAACGCGCGAGGAACCUGCCUCAAAGAGGGGGACAACAGUUGGAAACGACUGCUAAUACCGCAUAAGCCCACGGCUCGGCAUCGAGCAGGGGGAAAAGGAGCAAUCCGCUUUGAGAUGGCCUCGCGUCCGAUUAG